GAUGAACGCUGGCGGCGUGCCUAAUACAUGCAAGUCGAGCGAAUGGAUUAAGAGCUUGCUCUUAUGAAGUUAGCGGCGGACGGGUGAGUAACACGUGGGUAACCUGCCCAUAAGACUGGGAUAACUCCGGGAAACCGGGGCUAAUACCGGAUAACAUUUUGAACCGCAUGGUUCGAAAUUGAAAGGCGGCUUCGGCUGUCACUUAUGGAUGGACCCGCGUCGCAUUAGCUAGUUGGUGAGGUAACGGCUCACCAAGGCAACGAUGCGUAGCCGACCUGUGAGGGUGAUCGGCCACACUGGGACUGAGACACGGCGCAGACUCCUACGGGAGGCAGCAGUAGGGAAUCGUCCGCAAUGGACGAAAGUCUGACGGAGCAACGCCGCGUGAGUGAUGAAGGCUUUCGGGUCGUAAAACUCUGUUGUUAGGGAAGAACAAGUGCUAGUUGAAUAAGCUGGCACCUUGACGGUACCUAACCAGAAAGCCACGGCUAACUACGUGCCAGCAGCCGCGGUAA
rnacentral:rRNA from 1 species